ACUCAAAGGAAUUGACGGGGGCCCGCACAAGCAGCGGAGCAUGUUGCUUAAUUCGAGGCAACGCGAAGAACCUUACCUAGAUUGAACUACGCAGGAAAAGCCACAGAGAUGUGGUGUCCUUCGGGGUCUGCGAUAGGUGGUGCAUGGCUGUCGUCAGCUCGUGUCGUGAGAUGUUGGGUUAAGUCCCGCAACGAGCGCAACCCUUAUCCUAUGUUGCCAGCGCGUAAUGGCGGGGACUCGUAGGAGACUGCCGGGGUCAACUCGGAGGAAGGUGGGGAUGAGGUCAAGUCAUCAUGCCCCUUAUGUCUAGGGCUGCAAACAUGCUACAAUGGCCGGUACAAAGGGCUGCUAAGCCGCGAGGCUGAGCGAAUCCCAGAAAGCCGGUCUCAGUUCGGAUUGGAGUCUGCAACUCGACUCCAUGAAGCUGGAGUUGCUAGUAAUCCCGGAUCAGCAACGCCGGGGUGAAUACGUUCCCGGGCCUUGUACACACCGCCCGU
rnacentral:rRNA from 1 species